rnacentral:rRNA from 1 species
UACAGAGGGGGCAAGCGUUAUUCGGAAUUAUUGGGCGUAAAGGGCGCGUAGGCGGUUCGUUAAGUCAGAUGUGUAAUCCCCGAGCUCAACUUGGGAACUGCAUCUGAGACUGGCGGGCUAGAGUACUGGAGAGGAUGGUGGAAUUCCACGUGUAGCGGUGAAAUGCGUAGAGAUGUGGAGGAACACCAGUGGCGAAGGCGGCCAUCUGGACAGUAACUGACGCUGAGGCGCGAAAGUGUGGGGAG